UACGGAGGGGGCUAGCGUUGUUCGGAAUUACUGGGCGUAAAGCGCACGUAGGCGGCUUUGUAAGUUAGAGGUGAAAGCCCAGAGCUCAACUCUGGAAUUGCCUUUAAGACUGCAUCGCUAGAAUUGUGCAGAGGUAAGUGGAAUUCCGAGUGUAGAGGUGAAAUUCGUAGAUAUUCGGAAGAACACCAGUGGCGAAGGCGACUUACUGGACACAUAUUGACGCUGAGGCACGAAAGCGUGGGGAGCAAACAGG
rnacentral:rRNA from 1 species